UUGACAUCCAGAGAAUUUAGCAGAGAUGCUUUAGUGCCUUCGGGAACUCUGAGACAGGUGCUGCAUGGCUGUCGUCAGCUCGUGUUGUGAAAUGUUGGGUUAACGUCCGCAACGAGCGCAACCCUUAUCCUUUGUUGCCAGCACGUAAUGGUGGGAACUCAAAGGAGACUGCCGGUGAUAAACCGGAGGAAGGUGGGGAUGACGUCAAGUCAUCAUGGCCCUUACGAGUAGGGCUACACACGUGCUACAAUGGCGUAUACAAAGAGAAGCGACCUCGCGAGAGCAAGCGGACCUCAUAAAGUGCGUCGUAGUCCGGAUUGGAGUCUGCAACUCGACUCCAUGAAGUCGGAAUCGCUAGUAAUCGUAAAUCAGAAUGUUACGGUGAAUACGUUCCCGGGCCUUGUACACACCGCCCGUCACACCAUGGGAGUGGGUUGCAAAAGAAGUAGAUAGCUUAACCUUCGGGAGGGCGUUUACCACUUUGUGAUUCAUGACUGGGGUGAAGUCGUAACAAGGUAAGCGUAGUGCU
rnacentral:rRNA from 1 species